GUGGCCUUGAGCCGUGGCUUUCGGAGCUAACGCGUUAAGUAGACCGCCUGGGGAGUACGGUCGCAAGAUUAAAACUCAAAUGAAUUGACGGGGGCCCGCACAAGCGGUGGAGCAUGUGGUUUAAUUCGAUGCAACGCGAAGAACCUUACCUACUCUUGACAUCCAGAGAACUUUCCAGAGAUGGAUUGGUGCCUUCGGGAACUCUGAGACAGGUGCUGCAUGGCUGUCGUCAGCUCGUGUCGUGAGAUGUUGGGUUAA
rnacentral:rRNA from 1 species